rnacentral:misc_RNA from 1 species
AGCGUUCUGGAGGUGGUUCUGCACUAAAUGGGAGGGUUGCCCAAAGUUUAAAGUCUCCCUUGAAAUUGAUUGGAUUGGAGGAUGGAAUGUCACAUAUGGAAGCAAGAUAUCCAGCUUUACUGUUUAAACAACAACUAACUGCAUGCGUGGAGAAGAUAUUUGGUCUGAUUCGUGAUAAUUUGAAAAAGGAAAUAUCCCCAUUGCUGGGUCUCUGCAUUCAGGCACCAAAAAUCCAGCGGGUGCAUGGAGGGAAAUCAACGAGAUCACCUGGUGGUAUUCCUCAGCAGGCACCAAGCAGUCAAUGGGAUAGCAUCAUCAAGUUCCUGGAUUCUUUCUUGAGUCGCUUACGCGGAAAUCAUGUGCCUUCAUUUUUCAUCCGCAAGCUGACUACCCAAGUUUUCUCCUUCAUCAAUAUAUCGCUUUUUAACAGUCUUUUACUCCGACGAGAGUGUUGCACAUUUUCAAAUGGAGAAUAUGUGAAGUCUGGUUU